GGUCUCCAAAAGGCUCUGUAUGCUCUGAAUUAGUGUUCCACCUAUGGUUCUCUUUCUCCAGUAGCCAGAAUUCAUAAGCCCAGCAAUCAAGGGGUAGAACUGGAAGUGGCACCAUUUGCUAUUACUUCUAAUGACCCACUAGCAAAACGUUUGCUUCCUGUUCCUGCAAAUGUAUGCUGUGUUGGCCUAGAGGUCUUGGUCCCAAAGGAAGGAAUGCUUCUACCAGAAGACAAAACAGUGACUCCAUGGGACCAGAAGACUGCCUCCCAACCAUUUGGGUUCCCUAUGCCUCCGAAUCAGCAGGCAAAGAAAAGAGUUACUGCACCAGUAGGGAUGAUUUAUCCUGACUACAAAAGAGAAAUUGAACUAUUUAUCCACAAUGGAGGAUCUCGCUCUGUCCACUCAGGCUGGCGUGCAGGGGCAUGAUCACAGCUUACUGCAGCCUCAAUCUUCUGGAUUCAGAGCAAGGACCUGGGAAGCAAGCUGGAGCUCAGGCUACAGAUAUGCUAGCCUGAGGCUGUGGUCUUUGUAAGGCCAGAUCACCACUUCAGAAGAUCAGUGAAAGCCACAACAAUGGCACAUUAAAAUAAUAAUAAUAAUUUGAUUGAGUAAAUAUUUCACUCUUGAGGCAACCGUCUUAAAUGUACAGCUUAAGAACUAAAAAAUUUGGCAGGUGGAGAGGGGAUGGCUGGGUAGCUCACACCUAUAAUACCAGCACUUUGGAAGUCUGAGGCUGGUGGAUCACUUGAGUCCAAGAAGCUCAAGACCAGCCUGGGUGCCAGGAAGAAACCUCAUCUCUACCAAACUACAGCAAUUAUCUGGGCAUGGUGGUGUAUAUCUGUAGUCCUAGCUAUUGGAAGGCUGAGGCGGGAAGAUCACUUAGCCCAGGAGGCAGAGGCAAGAUUGCACCACUGCAUUCUAGCUUGGACAACAGAGGUAGAUCCCAUCUCAAAAAAAAAGAAGAAGAACUGAUAAAUUUAUGCUCUUACUCUGAGAUACAACCAAUUAUUCCACCUUUAUGGUUUUCCCUCACAGUGGUUCAGUUAGCAAACACUGUAAUUGAAUUACUAUUUUAUUUUCAUCACUUAUAGGUACAAAUAUAACCUCUUAAGUCAAUAUGCAAAUAUAUUUUGCAGAAAAUUAUCAGACCAUAGAGCCAUAGUUACUAGCCACGCUACCUCCCUAGAGCCUCAGUUUCCAAAUGUGUAAAAUGGGAAUACAUAUGCUGACACACAGAAUCAACAUAAGAAGGAAGUAAUGGGAAAAUACCACCUCUGGCACAUUAGGAGGACCCAACCAUUUUAUUAUUACCUGAAGGAGUGAAUGUAAGUGAAACAACUAAGAGAAAAUAGGGAAAGAAGAAUGUCAGAACUUUCUUGGCAACUAUAUUCAACAUGUCAUCAACACAGGAUUUCAUAUGAUCUGUGGAAGCUUUUAUACAAAAUGGGUGUGGAGAUUUACAAGAUUGAGCCUGAAAAUAACUGAUGCAUUCUGACAUCCUAUAUGUUGUACUAAAUCUAAAAUAAUCGAAGAAAAAAUAAACAAAAUGACACCCAUAAAAUACACAGACAAGAUGAUACAGGAGAAACCAUAUAUAAUUAGAUAAUAACUGCUAUGACUGUGAAGAGCAGGCAAUUGCGAAUCACAAAACACUUG